CCUACGGGCGACAGCAGUGGGGCAUAUUUCACAAUGGGGGAAACCCUGAUGCAGCGACGCCGCGUGAGUGCAGAAGUAUUUCGGUAUGUAAAGCUCUAUCAGCCGGGAAGCAAAUGACGGUACCUGAUUAAGAAACCCCGGCUAACUACGUACCAGCAGCCUCGGUAAUACGUAGGGGGCAAGCGUUAUCCGGAUUUACUGGGUGUCAAGGGAGCGUAUACGGCAGCGCAAGUCUGAAGUGAACUGCCGGGGCUUAACCCCGGCACUGCUUUGGAAACUGGGCAGCUAGAGUGCAGGAGAGGGCAGUGGAAGUCCUAGUGUAGCGGUGAAAUGCGUAGAUAUUAGGAGGAACACCAGUGGCGAAGGCGGCUUACUGGACUGUAACUGACGUUGAGGCUCGAAAGCGUGGGGAGCAAACAGGAUUAGAUACCCCAGUAGUC
rnacentral:rRNA from 1 species